rnacentral:rRNA from 1 species
UGCGAAUGCUGACAUAAGUAACGAUAAAGCGGGUGAAAAGCCCGCUCGCCGGAAGACCAAGGGUUCCUGUCCAACGUUAAUCGGGGCAGGGUGAGUCGACCCCUAAGGCGAGGCCGAAAGGCGUAGUCGAUGGGAAACAGGUUAAUAUUCCUGUACUUGGUGUUACUGCGAAGGGGGGACGGAGAAGGCUAUGUUGGCCGGGCGACGGUUGUCCCGGUUUAAGCGUGUAGGCUGGUUUUCCAGGCAAAUCCGGAAAAUCAAGGCUGAGGCGUGAUGACGAGGCACUACGGUGCUGAAGCAACAAAUGCCCUGCUUCCAGGAAAAGCCUCUAAGCAUCAGGUAACAUCAAAUCGUACCCCAAACCGACACAGGUGGUCAGGUAGAGAAUACCAAGGCGCUUGAGAGAACUCGGGUGAAGGAACUAGGCAAAAUGGUGCCGUAACUUCGGGAGAAGGCACGCUGAUAUGUAGGUGAAGCGACUUGCUCGUGGAGCUGAAAUCAGUCGAAGAUACCAGCUGGCUGCAACUGUUUAUUAAAAACACAGCACUGUGCAAACACGAAAGUGGACGUAUACGGUGUGACGCCUGCCCGGUGCCGGAAGGUUAAUUGAUGGGGUUAGCGCAAGCGAAGCUCUUGAUCGAAGCCCCGGUAAACGGCGGCCGUAACUAUAACGGUCCUAAGGUAGCGAAAUUCCUUGUCGGGUAAGUUCCGACCUGCACGAAUGGCGUAAUGAUGGCCAGGCUGUCUCCACCCGAGACUCAGUGAAAUUGAACUCGCUGUGAAGAUGCAGUGUACCCGCGGCAAGACGGAAAGACCCCGUGAACCUUUACUAUAGCUUGACACUGAACAUUGAGCCUUGAUGUGUAGGAUAGGUGGGAGGCUUUGAAGUGUGGACGCCAGUCUGCAUGGAGCCGACCUUGAAAUACCACCCUUUAAUGUUUGAUGUUCUAACGUUGACCCGUAAUCCGGGUUGCGGACAGUGUCUGGUGGGUAGUUUGACUGGGGCGGUCUCCUCCUAAAGAGUAACGGAGGAGCACGAAGGUUGGCUAAUCCUGGUCGGACAUCAGGAGGUUAGUGCAAUGGCAUAAGCCAGCUUGACUGCGAGCGUGACGGCGCGAGCAGGUGCGAAAGCAGGUCAUAGUGAUCCGGUGGUUCUGAAUGGAAGGGCCAUCGCUCAACGGAUAAAAGGUACUCCGGGGAUAACAGGCUGAUACCGCCCAAGAGUUCAUAUCGACGGCGGUGUUUGGCACCUCGAUGUCGGCUCAUCACAUCCUGGGGCUGAAGUAGGUCCCAAGGGUAUGGCUGUUCGCCAUUUAAAGUGGUACGCGAGCUGGGUUUAGAACGUCGUGAGACAGUUCGGUCCCUAUCUGCCGUGGGCGCUGGAGAACUGAGGGGGGCUGCUCCUAGUACGAGAGGACCGGAGUGGACGCAUCACUGGUGUUCGGGUUGUCAUGCCAAUGGCACUGCCCGGUAGCUAAAUGCGGAAGAGAUAAGUGCUGAAAGCAUCUAAGCACGAAACUUGCCCCGAGAUGAGUUCUCCCUGACUCCUUGAGAGUCCUGAAGGAACGUUGAAGACGACGACGUUGAUAGGCCGGGUGUGUAAGCGCAGCGAUGCGUUGAGCUAACCGGUACUAAUGAACCGUGAG